AUUGAACGCUGGCGGCAUGCUUUACACAUGCAAGUCGAACGGCAGCGCGGGCUUCGGCCUGGCGGCGAGUGGCGAACGGGUGAGUAAUGCAUCGGAACGUGCCCAGUAGUGGGGGAUAGCCCGGCGAAAGCCGGAUUAAUACCGCAUACGACCUGAGGGUGAAAGCGGGGGACCGAAAGGCCUCGCGCUAUUGGAGCGGCCGAUGUCGGAUUAGCUAGUUGGUGGGGUAAAGGCUUACCAAGGCGACGAUCCGUAGCUGGUCUGAGAGGACGACCAGCCAACAGUGGGGGGAGACCGGGCGCAGUCCGUGAGGGGGACAGGUGGGGGGAAGUUGUGGAGGGGGGGGAGACCCGCGACCAGGCAAGGCCGGGGGGGGGAAGUGAGCCUUGGGUUGGUAAACCGUUUGUGUGAGGGAAGAUAACCUCGGGGCAAAGACCGGGGGGGGAAGGCGGAACGGGAAGAAUAAGCACGGGCUAACGCGGGGCGAGCAGCCGUGAUAAUAGAUCGAAAAACCAUCGACUAACU
rnacentral:rRNA from 1 species